AUUGAACGCUGGCGGUAUGCUUAACACAUGCAAGUCGAACGGUAGCAGGUCUUCGGAUGCUGACGAGUGGCGGACGGGUGAGUAACGCGUAGGAAUCUGCCUUGUAGUGGGGGACAACUUGUGGAAACGCAAGCUAAUACCGCAUACGCCCUAAGGGGGAAAGGAGGGGAUCUUCGGACCUUUCGCUAUAAGAUGAGCCUGCGUUGGAUUAGCUAGUUGGUGGGGUAAAGCCUACCAAGGCGACGAUCCAUAGCUGGUCUGAGAGGACGAUCAGCCACACUGGGACUGAGACACGGCCCAGACUCCUACGGGUGGCAG
rnacentral:rRNA from 1 species